UUCUGCUCCCGGGAGCCCGCGAACGGUGGCGCCGCCGGCGGGCAGGUCGUCUUCGUAGCGCGGCUAAAGGCAUCCUGUAUUAGCUCACUCAGGAAUCCUAAACCCUGAAACGGUGCCCUUUACUCACUCCAUCAGACAAGUAGAGGGCAAAGACAUCUUGAGAAUAAACUUGUACCGGAGGAGCGGGGAUUAG